rnacentral:rRNA from 1 species
AGAGUUUGAUCCUGGCUCAGGAUGAACGCUGGCGGCGUGCUUAACACAUGCAAGUCGAACGAAGCACCUUGAUUUGAUUCUUCGGAUGAAGAUCUUGGUGACUGAGUGGCGGACGGGUGAGUAACGCGUGGGUAACCUGCCUCAUACAGGGGGAUAACAGUUAGAAAUGACUGCUAAUACCGCAUAAGACCACAGCACCGCAUGGUGCAGGGGUAAAAACUCCGGUGGUAUGAGAUGGACCCGCGUCUGAUUAGGUAGUUGGUGGGGUAACGGCCUACCAAGCCGACGAUCAGUAGCCGACCUGAGAGGGUGACCGGCCACAUUGGGACUGAGACACGGCCCAAACUCCUACGGGAGGCAGCAGUGGGGAAUAUUGCACAAUGGGGGAAACCCUGAUGCAGCGACGCCGCGUGAGCGAUGAAGUAUUUCGGUAUGUAAAGCUCUAUCAGCAGGGAAGAAAAUGACGGUACCUGACUAAGAAGCACCGGCUAAAUACGUGCCAGCAGCCGCGGUAAUACGUAUGGUGCAAGCGUUAUCCGGAUUUACUGGGUGUAAAGGGAGCGUAGACGGAGUGGCAAGUCUGAUGUGAAAACCCGGGGCUCAACCCCGGGACUGCAUUGGAAACUGUCAAUCUAGAGUACCGGAGAGGUAAGCGGAAUUCCUAGUGUAGCGGUGAAAUGCGUAGAUAUUAGGAGGAACACCAGUGGCGAAGGCGGCUUACUGGACGGUAACUGACGUUGAGGCUCGAAAGCGUGGGGAGCAAACAGGAUUAGAUACCCUGGUAGUCCACGCCGUAAACGAUGACUACUAGGUGUCGGGCAGCAAAGCUGUUCGGUGCCGCAGCAAACGCAAUAAGUAGUCCACCUGGGGAGUACGUUCGCAAGAAUGAAACUCAAAGGAAUUGAC